AUCCAGAUGACGAGUCCCAAAUAGGACGAAAUGCGCAUCAUGGAU
rfam:Trichobilharzia regenti genome assembly, scaffold: TRE_scaffold0000544